GUGGGGAAUAUUGGACAAUGGGCGAAAGCCUGAUCCAGCAAUGCCGCGUGAGUGAAGAAGGCCUUAGGGUUGUAAAGCUCUUUUGCCCGGGAAGAUAAUGACGGUACCGGGAGAAUAAGCCCCGGCUAACUCCGUGCCAGCAGCCGCGGUAAUACGGAGGGGGCUAGCGUUGUUCGGAAUUACUGGGCGUAAAGCGUACGUAGGCGGAUACGCAAGAUGGGGGUGAAAUCCCGGGGCUUAACCCCGGAAUUGCCCUCAAAACUGUGUGGCUUGAGGCCGAGAGAGGUAAAGGGAAUUCCUAGUGUAGAGGUGAAAUUCGUAGAUAUUAGGAAGAACACCAGUGGCGAAGGCGCCUUACUGGCUCGGUACUGACGCUGAGGUACGAAAGCGUGGGGAGCAAACAGGAUUAGAAACCCCGGUAGUCC
rnacentral:rRNA from 1 species